rnacentral:rRNA from 1 species
CCUACGGGAGGCAGCAGUGAGGAAUAUUGGUCAAUGGACGCAAGUCUGAACCAGCCAAGCCGCGUGCAGGAAGACGGCACUAUGAGUUGUAAACUGCUUUUGUAAGAGGGUAAAGGCAGAUACGCGUAUCUGUCUGAAUGUAUCUGACGAAUAAGGAUCGGCUAACUCCGUGCCAGCAGCCGCGGUAAUACGGAGGAUUCAAGCGUUAUCCGGAUUUAUUGGGUUUAAAGGGUGCGUAGGCGGUCGGUUAAGUUAGAGGUGAAAGCCCGAGGCUCAACUUCGGAAUUGCCUUUGAUACUGUUAGGCUAGAGAGUAGUUGAGGUAGGCGGAAUGUGUGGUGUAGCGGUGAAAUGCUUAGAGAUCAUGCAGAACACCGAUUGCGAAGGCAGCUUACCAAGCUACUUCUGACGUUGAGGCACGAAAGCGUGGGUAGCAAACAGGAUUAGAUACCCUUGUAGUC